rnacentral:rRNA from 1 species
CAAUCUCAGUUCAGACUGCAGGCUGCAACUCGCCUGCACGAAGUCGGAAUUGCUAGUAAUCGUAGGUCAGCAUACUACGGUGAAUACGUUCCCGGGCCUUGUACACACCGCCCGUCAAACCAUGAGAGUUGGCAACACCCGAAGUCGGUAGUCUAACCGCAAGGAGGACGCCGCCGAAGGUGGGGUUGAUGAUUAGGGUUAAGUCGUAACAAGGUAUC